UACGGAGGGUGCAAGCGUUAUCCGGAUUCACUGGGUUUAAAGGGUGCGUAGGUGGGCAGGUAAGUCCGUGGUGAAAUCUCUGAGCUUAACUCAGAAACUGCCGUGGAUACUAUUUGUCUUGAAUACCGUGGAGGUAAGCGGAAUAUGUCAUGUAGCGGUGAAAUGCUUAGAUAUGACAUAGAACACCAAUUGCGAAGGCAGCUUACUACCCGAAUAUUGACACUGAGGCACGAAAGCGUGGGGAUCAAACAGG
rnacentral:rRNA from 1 species